GUCUCGGUGGUGUAGUGGUAGCAUACCCUCCCAUUAAAAGUGAGAUCCAGGUUCAACUCCAGGCUGAGGUC